AGAGAAGAAGACACUGCGUAGGGUAAAGGGGGCAACAGGUGAACGCAGGUGUUCUGAAAACCCCCCGGAAGUUAGUUAUUAUGGUUUGGCCGCUUACCAUCGUGCUCCACAGUUGCAGCACCGACAGGGCCCGGAGUGUGUGCUGCAGACGAUCUGUCAAGAUUUCCAGCUCCUGGGUCAGCUUGUACUCCUCACGAAACUGCUCACCCAGCAGCACCAGGUCACGCGUGGCGUCAUGUAGUGGGAUGUCGCUCAGCAUGGCUUCUGUAGCAUCCCAAGAGUGGUAGCGCUCUGAGACAAGUCUCCUCACAAUGAGUACAAUCUACAUCUUCAAGGCACUGCAGCUGUUCUUAGUAUUUACUGUCCCA